UAAUACAUGACGCCCGGUGACCGGCUACCCGCAGCCGGUGCCUGCGCGACUGCCUCAGAGAAGGACCCUGCCUUCCCUGCCCAUGUACUCUGCGCUG